rnacentral:rRNA from 1 species
AUGAUUCAAGACUCCAAUUUGAAAGGGGUUAGUGAUCUUUGCAGAAAACUCGUUGAGACAAAGAAGUACAAUACCUUUCCUCUAGUAUUCUUUUUGGUAAAGCUAGCAUUGAUCUUGCCGGUGGUGACGGCAACAGUUGAGAGAGCAUUUUCCGCAAUGAAAUAUAUCAAGUCUGAUUGGCGCAAUAGAAUAGGUGAUGAUUUCUUGUACCAUUGUCUCAUAACUUAUGUUGAAACUGAUGUAUUCUAG